UACGGGAGGCAGCAGUGGGGAAUAUUGCACAAUGGGCGAAAGCCUGAUGCAGCUAUGCCGCGUGUAUGAAGAAGGCCUUAGGGUUGUAAAGUACUUUCAUCGGGGAGGAAAAACAAAACUAAUAAUUUUAUUUCUUGACGUUACCCGAAAAAGAAGCACCGGCUAACUCCGUGCCAGCAGCCGCGGUAAUACGGAGGGUGCUAGCGUUAAUCAGAAUUACUGGGCGUAAAGAGCACGUAGGUGGUUUUUUUAAGUCAGAUGUGAAAUCCCUGGGCUUAACCUAGGAACUGCAUUUUGAAACUGAAAUACUAGAGUAUCGUAGAGGGAGGUAGAAUUCUAGGUGUAGCGGUGAAAUGCGUAGAUAUCUGGAGGAAUACCUGUGGCGAAAGCGGCCUCCUAAAUGAAUACUGACACUGAGGUGCGAAAGCGUGGGGAGCAAACAGGGAUUAGAUACC
rnacentral:rRNA from 1 species